rnacentral:tRNA from 1 species
UCUACCAAAGGAUAAUAGUCUCCAC